GACGAACGCUGGCGGCGUGCUUAACACAUGCAAGUCGAACGGAAAGGCCCUGCUUUUGUGGGGUGCUCGAGUGGCGAACGGGUGAGUAACACGUGAGUAACCUGCCCUUGACUUUGGGAUAACUUCAGGAAACUGGGGCUAAUACCGGAUAGGAGCUCCUGCUGCAUGGUGGGGGUUGGAAAGUUUCGGCGGUUGGGGAUGGACUCGCGGUUUAUCAGCUUGUUGGUGGGGUAGUGGCUUACCAAGGCUUUGACGGGUAGCCGGCCUGAGAGGGUGACCGGCCGCAUUGGGACUGAGAUACGGCCCAGACUCCUACGGGAGGCAGCAGUGGGGAAUAUUGCACAAUGGGCGGAAGCCUGAUGCAGCAACGCCGCGUGCGGGAUGACGGCCUUCGGGUUGUAAACCGCUUUCGCCUGUGACGAAGCGUGAGUGACGGUAAUGGGUAAAGAAGCACCGGCUAACUACGUG
rnacentral:rRNA from 1 species